AAAAAUCAAAAAAAAUAUUUUUUAGAAAGUAAAAAUCAAAAGGUAUAAUCAAACACACCCUUGGUUAUUACAAAUAAGGCACUGGCCGACAAGAAAUGAUCAUUGACCAAUUACAAAUGAGAGUACUUUCCCGGUUACUUUUUUGGUUUGUAACCAAGAAAAUGUUCCAUUACUCCUUCAGUAAUUUUUCGCAUCCCCGACCAGAGCAACCAUCCACCAUCUCCAAAUGAUGGGAUCAUGGUGUUCUUCUCUAGAACAAGCCAAGGAUCACAGCAUCAAGAUAAUUUUUUAAUAAAAAAAAGUAAUUUUUUACAUCCCAAAAUUCUGCACAGUAAUCUGUAAGAACAUACAAAGUAAGCAGCAAAAGUUCAAAACAAAGAACAGAGGAAGUAUGGUUUAUCUGCAACGUGAAUACAAUGGCCAAAAAUCUGUAGAAAACAACCAACAUAUUUAACAUAGUAUAUAGUGAACAUUGAGAAAC
rnacentral:lncRNA from 1 species